CACUUUUUCAAAAUUGUUGGUGAAAGGGGAAAAAAUUUUUUAUCGUAGAUUUCAAUAAUUGUACUCAAAAUUGGUUAUAUCGCCAAAUUCGGCAUUUAAAAUUUAAGAAAAAAUGUUGGCAUUGUUAGGCACCCAGUUCAGUUCCUAAUAACGCCAAAACGGUGACCUCACUUUGAACUGUUAUAGCUCGAAGGAAAAAGAUUAUAAAAAUUCAAACAUUCACUCAAAAUAUACCUUCAUGUAUCCUUUAUCGCCUACACGAAUCUGAAUGGGAAUAAGUUUAAUUGUGACUGAGUAAUUCCAAUUUUUCGAGUGCAUGGCGUUAAUAGGGCACAUUACCUCAUAACAAACCUUGAAUGAGAAUACUUCAUAAAAUCGUGGUUUCUGUAUGAAAACAACACAUUAUUAAAUCAUUCGAUGAGAAAUUUAAUUUUAUUUAACCAAAGUCCUCAUCACGCAAAAUUUACGUACCUGGGUAAUUCUCAGAAAAAAGGUCAAUUUUGAUGUGCAUAAUUUUGAAAAAUAAAAAUCAUUUUUUUGGAAAAUUUCAAGUGGGAAUCAUUUGUAUAGGUGUCCCAGAUCCCUGUUCUAGUGUUGGCCUCAAUUCAAUCCCCCCCCCCACUGUGGACCCCGGCCCCCCUAAAACAGCGAUAAUUAGGAUUCGACCCUCAUCGAUGUGUAAUAUGUCGAUUGAUAUGUUUUCGAGGUCGUAGAAUUCGAAUCUGGAGUUAUUUUUUAUGUAGAGGUGGAGGGGGAGGCGUGGGGAGGGGGAAAAUGUCAAAUUUUGCGUAUAUUAUCGUGUAAUAUGUCAUUAUGUUUUUCAGGCCGCAAAGUUCGAAUCUGGACUUAUUUUUAUGGUAGGGGUAGAGGUGAGGUGUGGGGAGGGAGAAAAUGUCAAAUUUUGCUUGUUUUAUCGUGUAAUAUGUCGACUAGCGCGAUAAAAGUACAGCUGUCUGAAAUUUGGCCAAGUCGAAGGACAAAUGGGCGCUGGACAAGCCGAAGGACAAUCUCAACGUUUUUUCGUUUCUAGCCUUAGCUACUGGACAUUAUUCGAUUUUUAACACGUAAUAAAUGUGUACUUAUCAUGUAGAAUAACUUCCCUUUCUCAAUUAUCGUUUUUGGCGGGUUCAUCAGGGUAAAUAAAAAGGCAAGCCGAAGGACGCCAAUUUUGCGAAAUAUCAUAUUUUCAGAGACAAGUACGAUCAGAACGAGCCAUUGCGUAGGUUAUGAGAAUAACAUUGCGGGGUAACAUUUUUAUGAAGACAGUGAACCAGUGCAGCCACUCACCAGAAAAAAAUAUUGGAUUGGGAAGCUACCAAAAAUAAUUGAAAAUUGCUCUAAAAUUUGCGCAAAAAGUGUGUGACAGUUUUCAAAUGUGAAAUGUCAGCUUCCUAUGGACUUAUUCCAAUUGCAAUUUGCACAAUAAUGGACCUUCGUGUUCUAUGAUAAUGAGAACGUGCCAAUUUUUCCCCAAAAAAAUGAAGUUCAUGACACUUUAUAACAUUUAUUUUCAAAAACAUGGUGUGUGACAGCCAAGUCGAAGGACAUUUGGGGUAUAAAAUCGAAUGUACACCAAUGAAAGGAGGGACUAAAAAUUUCAAUACCAUAUGCGAAAUGUGUGGGGGAUGAUCCUUGAAUGGACCAAAAAAAAAAAAAAAAAUUCAUGCUAAAACCUUUGAGAAAUUUGCCAUGUACACCAAUUAUACCUUUUUCUGAGAAUUACCCACUUACAUUCGCUAAUUUCCACUAAAAAGUUGAAAAACAGAAUUUCUCCCAUGAUGGUAGGUACCUACCUAACCAAAAAUGUUGAAAUGAAAACUUGAAAAAAAAACCGGUGGGAUGUAUCUAGUGCUAUGACGUUAUCAAUAAGAAGUUUUCAAUUCUGGGACAGUGGCAAUAAAUGGUUUUGAACGACUUGUAGCCUAUAUUUUCUACAUAAAGUUGUGCAAUACUGUAAAUUAUUUCUCAUCGUUUCUUUUGAUUGGUUCACUUUACUGAACGUAUUGUUUUUCUAUCGAGUAUGUGUUAAGUUCUUAUGUUGUACUUUUUUCUUUGUUAAAAUGUUGUACUUAAGUUUUUUUUUGCUCUUGGGUAACUUAUGGAAUUUAUGAAAUUCCUACCUAACAUUUAAAUACGGAAAAAUUUGAGCAGGCUACUUCAUUCUAUGCAAGUGAAAUUGAGAACUCAACACUCCUCGAUCGUGACAAUCGUAUAACUAGAUUCUGACUCUUGGUUAUUAAUGCCUUUUUGCAUAGGCACCUUACCUAUAUUGUUUCAAAAACAGAAGAAAUGCGCGAAUCCGAAAAAUGGCCAAGAAAGAAAUGAAGCUUGGUUCUUGGUUUGCGUUAAUAUUACUUAGUGUGAGUCCUUGUUCAAAAUGUGGAUUUUUUUUUGCAUGAUGUUUUCAUCGGAUUAACUAAAAAUGAUUAAGAGGUUGUAGAGUGCCCUAAAUGUUGUGAAUCAACUCAUAAACUGUUUUUUAAUAAGUUUCAAUUGGUUUUUCUUUGAUUAGAAUACCGCAUUGUCGACGUUAGGUACCUAUAAUUAAUAUGCUGUCCAGAACAUAACACCCUCCUGUCCUGAACAUGGCACCCAAGCACCGCCAGUUUUGUAUUUAGGUAGUUGCAAAAAAUAAGUAUAUGAUGUGUAUACCACCAAAAGGAAUCUUUUACCGCACUUGAUCCAUUUUUUGCACAUUACUGGGAGUCAAAAAUCGAAUUUGAAAUUUUUUGUCCAGAACAUCCUCCCUCUGUCCUACAUUAGCAACUGCUGUGUACUCUAUAUUUUCAACAAGCGAUUAAGUCGACUGCAGGUGAGUAUCAAGUCAUUCUGUAGCCUCCAGCGUUUUUUUUUUUUUGAAAUUCCAGUUUCCCAAAAAACGCCAUUAACACUUCAAAUUAUCUGAAACUGGUACGCUUGAGGUUGGUGCUUGUUAGUAACCCUCUUCACCGAUUAGGCUUUUGUCAUUUUUUCAGAAUAGGUCUAUUUCCAGUUCGGAACCAUAGUUUAUUUCUCCAGAGAAUUCAUAUUUGAAAAUUUGAAAAAUUCACCUUUCCUCUGUCGUUUGGCACGUGAAAGCUGAAAUUCAGUUUACACCUUAUUUCUGACAUCUCGAGACCGCAUUAGCACACUUCUUGUGAUUGGGGCUUUAUAUAUAUGUAGUACCCCGCUUGACCAAUUACACUCCAAAAUGAAUGGUUCUGUACCAGAACACACCGAUUUUGGAUAAAUGGCGUGAGGAGGGAAGAAUCUCCUCCUUAAAAUUCACGUAAAUUUGCUUAUUUCCACGGAAAAGUCCAAAAAGAAUUUAUCUGCCUAGAUAUACCUACCUUACCAAAAACUUUGAAAUGAAAAUUCUGAAAAAAAAAAACAAUGGGAUGUAAUGCUUUGACGUCAUCAAUAAGAAGUUUCCAAUUCUGGCGCAAUGUGGUUUCGAAUAUUGUGUUUCCACAUAAAGUCUCGUAAUGAAUUAUUUCUCAUCGAUUCUUUCAAUUGGUUCAAUUGGUUCAUUUUACUGAACGUAUUGUUUUUUUUAUCGAGUGGGUAUUUGUUCUGUUCAGUACCCAUGUUGUAAUUUUUCUCUUUGUUAAAAUGACAGGGGUGCUGUGUAGAUGAAUUUUUGAAAAGUAACUCGUCAAAUUGAUUUUUUCGGGGGGGGGGGGUGGAAAAUUUUUCCCUUCUCCUCGAAAAAGUCAUUCUUGUCUCUUACAUCGCAUGAACAGCUAAUUACACGUUAUUUUUAAAAAAAUUUCUCGUGAACCAUUGAUUUUUACUCUUUGAAAUACAAGUAUUCAAAAUUCAUUUCCUCUAAUCAAAAUAAGAGGAGAGAAAAAUAUUGACUUCUCCCAUCUUAAUACUGUUGUUUUACUCUUGAAGAUUGAACAAUUUAGAAUUUUCAAAAGCAUCAGCCAGCGCUUCGCGCGGGCUUUUAUGGUAUUAGAUAUGCUCUUCCAAAGACAAAAAAUUUUGAAGCCAUGAAAACAAAGUUUAUACCUACAUCAUCAGGAAUGGUACCUACAUAUUAGUUCGCACUUUGCACCUCAUACUAAUACUACAUAGGUAUUUCAAAGCUUUUGCCCCGCCUCGCUUGAGCUUGAUCAUUCUCUGGCCGAAGUUGGAGAGUAGAAAAAUUGACUCCUCGCAUCAAAAAUAAUGCUGUUUUACUUCUGAGGAAUUGUGAAUUUUUGAAAGCUUCGCUUGUACUCUUAUUUUUAAAAAUAAUAGAUAAUGUAAGUAAGUACUUACGUAAUUUUUGAAAAUUUUGAAGCUAUGAAAAUUAACUUUUGAAUAAGAAAUGACUUUGUUUUACAUUUUGAAUUAGGUAUCAAUUUUUCACAGCUUUCGCCCUUGCUUUGCUCGGGCAGAUUUGAAUUCUGCUGCGCAAACUUUCAAACAUUUCCUAGAAUGGAAAAAUUAACCCAAGAAAUUUUAAAAACAUUUAUACUCCAUUAAUGAAAAAUUUCAAUUUUCAAUUACACUUAAUAUACCUAGACAUUACGUGACAGCGGCUUCAAAGUACAAUGAUGUUGGGAGGGCAUGAAAAUAUGUGGGGGUUAUCUUAUAAAAGUACACACUAAAUAGCUAAGUUGUUGGGAAAUUUGCGAUGUUGGGGUUGGCAUUUUCAAGAUUUUUUCCCCUCCUACUAAAAUUGGUUUGCUUCACCACUGGGAAAUGGACAUACUUAUCGCACCUUGGUCCUUGAGAGUAUUAAGGUUACAUCUCAAAAAAAAAUAGAUUUUUGACAUUUUUGCAUUUUUGGGGUUUGUAUGGCCCCCUUCAACCAAAAAUAACACUUUGAGUUGGGUACAUUAUCUAGAUCUUGUAAAAACGCAAAUGGUCUAACUCAAAAGCUCAACAAUAUUGCAAGUUGUUUGGAGUUAUAAGGGUACAUCUCAAAAAACUCCGCCUUUUUUGAGUACCUAAAUUUUCGUAUGUACAAAGUGAUAAAAAACAGUUUUGAUUGUUUUGAAUGUUUGUCAGAUAGAAAUAAAUGUAGUCACUAGAAGUGUAUUUUUUAUUGGUUUGUACCAAAUGGAAAAAAAUUAAAUUCAUCUCUUUUCAGAAAAAUGAAUUUGCUCAUACUAUAAUGAAAUUUUAGUUUUUCGGGAAAAACUCAAAAUCUGAGCACUAUAGAAAAAAACUAACGAUAUUAUGUCAAUUGGAAAUUUAAUUCUCUACCGGACAGGUAAAGUGGUGCGCGCGUUGAAUUGCUUAACGAAAUAUGAAAUAGGUAUUAGGUAUGCAAUAAUCGCGAUCUCCGGCACCGGCCGCAGGCACUUACAUCAUAUUGCACAGUCGUGGGAAAUAUUAAGAUUGGAAAUAUCGGCGGCUUGGUUAUUUGCGUCAUAUGCUGUGAAAUUAUUUUUCUCCAAGCAAUUCCAAUCCGCUUAUAAAUAAAUGAAGUCGAGAUUGAAAUUUAUCUAGUUGUUUGUUAGACGGUGCACGGUGCGCGAGUAAAAAGGUGCUUCAUUUUCACGCCACAACAACGAUGCAAACAAUCGCCAUUGUUUUAAUCAUCUCGGUCCAGGGUUGUUAAAUUACCGUAAUUUAUUCGCUGGUAAAAUACGGCGGUAAAAUACGGUAAAAUACGGUAUUUUACCGUAUUUUACCAUCUUGAAUAAUGUAAUGAACUUAUAGUGUUCAACCCUUCAAAGGUUCAAACUUAUAAAAUUGUGUAUUAUUAUAUGAUGGGUGGAAAUUUCAGUAAUUUUCUGCUUGAAAUUUGAAAACAAUAUGAAACUAUGAAGGGGUUAAAAAUUACAUUAACAACACUUAAAAAACCUUGAAGUUACUGAAAAUUACUAAAAAUAAAAACUAAAAAGUGAUGAAAGAUGGCCAAUGGGGAAAAAUUAAUUGUAUAACCAUUAACCAAUAACCAUAAAACUGGAAAGCAAUAAAGCAUGGAUUAAAAUUAUAAUUAAAAAUUAAAAUCAUUCAAAAUUGUCAACAAAUCAAAAAUUGACCAAUUUGGUUAUUUUAAUGAUUGAAAUAACCAAAAUUUAAUGAUUUUGAACUUUGAAGCACAUUUUAUUUUAAUGACAUUUCAAUUGAUUUCAACAUGUUUUCACGAUAUGAUGCCAUUUGCCAUUUUUUUUUAAGUUUUUGACCAAUUGUGAAUAAUUUUCUGGGAAUUGUUUGGUAAUUUUCAAGACAUUUUUCUGUUUAUAAGUAACAUGCAUCAAUUAUCAUUAGCAUUUAUGCAAAUUAAUUGUAAAUUUUGAUGCCAAUCAUCUUCAGCUGUUGAUUCAUCCUUUCAACUUUCAAAUAAUGUGGCAAAAAAUGCUUUUUGGUAAUUUACGGUAAAAUACGGUAAUAAACUUUUGGUAAAAUACCGUAAAAUACCGUAAAAUACCGCCGUAAUUUACCGACAUAAAUUACCUUACAACCCUGUCUCGGUCAGCUCACAGCGCGCUGUACUUCCAAACCAACAGGAAGGACAACGUGUACUCGAGGAUAAAAUUAUUUCCUCUAGCCGAGCAACGGAUCCUUCGAACAGGAACAAUUACAAAGAUGAAGUACCUGAACACAUCAUAAUUGGAACUAAUGGCGUUGUAGAGCUCGAUGGGGUGUUUAAAGCGAAUGAUGACCAAUUCAGAGCUGGCAAACUGGAGUUAUUUAUCAGUCAGAAGGAAAUUCGCAUCAAUGAUAUAACGAUUCUUCGGAGAACUCCUACUGAUUCGCGUAUUAUCCACAAUGGCCAUCUCUCCUUCUAUACGAAUUAUUUUAAAAUUCAGACAUUUAAAAGCGGUCUAACUUUGUAUGAAGAUGACAAAGUAAAAAUUACGCUUACAAUUCCUGCCGCGAGUGUUUUGUUUAAGGGAGUACCUGAACACAUCAUAAAAGGAACUAAUGGCGUUAUAGAGCUCGAUGGGGUGUUUAAAGCGAAUGAUGACAAAUUCAGAGCUGGCAAAGUGGAGUUAUUUAUCAGUCAGAAGGAAAUUCGCAUCAAUGAUAUAUUUAUUCUUGGGAGAACUCCUAUUGAUCCGCUUAUUAACGACAGCACGACUCUCACCUCCGAUACGUAUAAUUUUAAAAUUCAGACAUUUAAAAACGGUCACACUUUGUAUGAAGAUGAUACCUAAAGUAAAUAUGACGAUUCCAUUUCCUCCCACCGCGAGUGUUAUCCUUAACUAACGCUGAAUAAAUUUCGAAUGUUAGCAAUGUUUUGAAUGCAUUCAAACUGUCGAAUAAAUUCAUGUUGUCACAAU